GACAGAGGAUGCAAGCGUUAUCCGGAAUGAUUGGGCGUAAAGCGUCUGUAGGUGGCUUUUUAAGUCUGCCGUCAAAUCCCAGGGCUUAACCCUGGACAGGCGGUGGAAACUACCAAGCUGGAGUACGGUAGGGGCAGAGGGAAUUUCCGGUGGAGCGGUGAAAUGCGUAGAUAUCAAGUGGAACACCAGUGGCGAAGGCGAGUCCCUGGACAAUUCCUGACACUGAGGCACGAAAGCUAGGGGAGCAAACAGG
rnacentral:rRNA from 1 species